GAUGAACGCUGGCGGCGUGCCUAAUACAUGCAAGUCGAGCGAACGGACGAGAAGCUUGCUUCUCUGAUGUUAGCGGCGGACGGGUGAGUAACACGUGGAUAACCUACCUAUAAGACUGGGAUAACUUCGGGAAACCGGAGCUAAUACCGGAUAAUAUUUUGAACCGCAUGGUUCAAAAGUAAAAGACGGUCUUGCUGUCACUUAUAGAUGGAUCCGCGCUGCAUUAGCUAGUUGGUAAGGUAACGGCUUACCAAGGCAACGAUGCAUAGCCGACCUGAGAGGGUGAUCGGCCACACUGGAACUGAGACACGGUCCAGAAUCCUACGGGAGGCAGCAGUAGGGAAUCUUACGCAAUGGGCGAAAGCCUGACGGAGCAACGCCGCGUGAGUGAUGAAGGUCUUCGGAUCGUAAAACUCUGUUAUUAGGGAAGAACAUAUGUGUAAGUAACUGUGCACAUCUUGACGGUACCUAAUCAGAAAGCCACGGCUAACUACGUG
rnacentral:rRNA from 1 species